ACUCAAAUGAAUUGACGGGGGCCCGCACAAGCGGUGGAGCAUGUGGUUCAAUUCGACGCAACGCGAAGAACCUUACCUGGACUCGAAAUGCAGUUGCCGCUUUCAGAGAUGAAGGUUUCCCGCAAGGGACGACUGUAUAGGUGCUGCAUGGCUGUCGUCAGCUCGUGUCGUGAGAUGUUGGGUUAAGUCCCGCAACGAGCGCAACCCUCACCCUUAGUUGCUCGUCCGCAAGGAAAGCACCCUAAGGGAACUGCCCGGGAUAACCGGGAGGAAGGUGGGGAUGACGUCAAGUCCUCAUGGCCUUUAUGCCCAGGGCUACACACGUGCUACAAUGGCCGGUACAAAGCGUCGCCAACCCGCAAGGGGGAGCCAAUCGCAAAAAACCGGUCUCAGUUCGGAUUGCAGGCUGCAACUCGCCUGCAUGAAGCUGGAAUCGCUAGUAAUCGCGUAUCAGAACGAUGCGGUGAAUACGUUCCCGGGCCUUGUACACACCGCCCGU
rnacentral:rRNA from 1 species